UACGGAGGGGGCUAGCGUUGUUCGGAAUUACUGGGCGUAAAGCGCGCGUAGGCGGACCUGCAAGUCGGGGGUGAAAGCCCGAGGCUCAACCUCGGAACUGCCUUCGAUACUGCGGGUCUCGAGUCCGGGAGAGGUGAGUGGAAUUCCUAGUGUAGAGGUGAAAUUCGUAGAUAUUAGGAAGAACACCAGUGGCGAAGGCGGCUCACUGGCCCGGUACUGACGCUGAGGCGCGAAAGG
rnacentral:rRNA from 1 species